UCGCGCUGAACUGUUUCUGAUCCAUGAGG
rnacentral:piRNA from 1 species